CCUGGUGGCUCAGACAGUAGAGCGUCUGCUUGCAAUUCGGGAGACCCAGGUUCGAUUCCUGGGUCAGGA
rnacentral:tRNA from 1 species